CGUAGGGUGCAAGCGUUGUUCGGAAUUACUGGGCGUAAAGGGCGCGUAGGCGGGCUUGUAAGUCGUCUGUGAAAUCCCCGGGCUUAACCUGGGAACUGCAGACGAUACUGCAUGGUCUUGAGUGCUUGAGAGGAUGAUGGAAUUCCAGGUGUAGAAGUGAAAUUCGUAGAUAUCUGGAGGAACACCGGAGGCGAAGGCGGUCAUCUGGCAAGACACUGACGCUAAGGCGCGAAAGUGCGGGGAGCAAACAGGAUUAGAUACCCUGGUAGUCCGCACCAUAAACGAUGGAUACUAGAUGUUUGGAGAAUUAACCCUCUGAGUAUCGCAGCUCACGCAGUAAGUAUCCCGCCUGGGGAGUACGGUCGCAAGACUA
rnacentral:rRNA from 1 species